GUGAGGAAUAUUGGUCAAUGGACGUAAGUCUGAACCAGCCAAGUAGCGUGCAGGAUGACGGCCCUAUGGGUUGUAAACUGCUUUUAUAUGGGGAUAAAGUGAGGGACGUGUCCCUUUUUGUAGGUACCAUAUGAAUAAGGACCGGCUAAUUCCGUGCCAGCAGCCGCGGUAAUACGGAAGGUCCGGGCGUUAUCCGGAUUUAUUGGGUUUAAAGGGAGCGCAGGCUGAUGAUUAAGCGUGACGUGAAAUGUAGCCGCUCAACGGCUGAACUGCGUCGCGAACUGGUUAUCUUGAGUGAGUUCGAUGUUGGCGGAAUUCGUGGUGUAGCGGUGAAAUGCUUAGAUAUCACGAAGAACUCCGAUUGCGAAGGCAGCCAACAAGGCCUUUACUGACGCUAAAGCUCGAAGGUGCGGGUAUCGAACAGG
rnacentral:rRNA from 1 species